GGCCUUUUGAUAGUAAUUUAAGGUCGAGCCUGCCCACUGAGAUUUAAAUGGCUGCGGUAUUCUGACCGUGCUAAGGUAGCAUAAUCAUUAGUUUUUUAAUUGAAAGCUGGAAUGAAUGGUUUGAUGAGAAAAUAACUGUCUCUUUUGGAAUAUUUAGAAUUUUACUUUUAAGUAAAAAGGCUUAAAUGUAAUUAAAAGACGAGAAGACCCUAUAGAAUUUUAUGAAAUUUUUAUUUGUGGUUUUUGUUAAUUAAACCCUUAAUUAAAAAUUUUUUUUGAUUGGGGCGAUUGAAAAAUUAAAUAAACUUUUUUUUGCUUAUAUCAUUGAUUUAUGAAAUAUUGAUCCUUAUUUAAAGAUUAUAAGAUAAAAUUACCUUAGGGAUAACAGCGUAAUUUUUUUUGAGAGUUCAAAUCGAAAGAGAAGGUUGCGACCUCGAUGUUGGAUUAAAAUUUAUAUUUGGUGUAGAAGCUAAAUAAUUAGGUCUGUUCGACCUUUAAAAUUU
rnacentral:rRNA from 1 species